GACGACUGCGAACACGGUGCGCGCCCGCGCCUCCCGAACCGUUCGCGCCUCUACGUCAUCAGAUGAUUUUUAGUACUUAUUCUUUAUACAAAGCACAAUAAUUUUGAACUUAUAAUAUAAUUAAAUUGCAUGUCGCGUGCUUAGUGUUGCUAAGAAUAUAAUUUCUGCCAGCGGUUUCAUCCACGAUCCAACUUCUACCGGGAUAAAAAGUCGCCUAUCAACUACCUUCCACAUAUUCUCUUUUUUCUACUUCUACUCGUGAAGUCGGUGAAGUUGAAGCAUGAAAAACAUGCCUAUGUAAGUAUAGUCUUAGAAUAAUAAUUUAAAUUUCUAAUGAAAAUAGAGGGCUUGGAUGUGAAAAGUUGUUAUCCAUUCAACCCGAUCAUGUUGUGAUAAAAUAUUUAAAUCAUUAAGGGUGUUCUAAAAAUAAAAGUGUGAAAUAGGUUUGUUUUUUUAUUAGCUUAGCAGUAAGUUUACGACGAGGCUACAGCUUUCUUGGGAGUAGGUUUGCCUUCCUUGAAGCCAUUGCGGAAACGCCUCCUCACGAUUUUCAGGUGACGCAUGCGGCCAGUUCCUGUGGUCUUCCUGCGCUUAGCCUUCACUGACCAGU